rnacentral:lncRNA from 1 species
ACUACUCUGCAACCAUUUAUGAUUUUAAAGUAUUAUAUUAUAAUAUUUUUUGCUAAGCUCUUAGUAUAUUCCACACAGCGGGCUAAAACCUUUUCCACACAUUUUCUCAUCUAAUCCCCACAAUAACCCAUAAUAUAGGUACUGGUAUUAUCAUCAUCAUCACUAUUACUAUUAUUCUCAUUUUACAAAUGAAGAAAUGGAGUCUUUAUAAAAAUCGUCAGCUAAUGCUUAUAAUGCAAAGUUGAGGUAAAGAGUAGGAUAUCAAAUGGUGUGUUCAAUACAUCUCAAUUAUAUGUAAAUAUAUAUGUAGAGAAAACAGGCUAAAAGAUGGUGUAUUACAAUGCGGGCCAUUGUUGUCUCUGGGUAAUGGGUUUAUAAGUCAUAUUUAUUUUCUUCCCGUCUAACUUGCUCAGUGAUUAUAGGCAAUUCAUCUUCAGGCUGAGGCUCCACUGCCCUGCCGUCACCUCCAUGAGAUGUGGGUUAGGUCCCCAUGGCUCCACCUUCUCCUCCUUAAGAAGCAGGGGCCAGAGCCCAUGAGCCCUGAAGAUUCUACAGUCUGGAUGUCAAGAGGAAACUGCCAGGAACUAGAGCCGAGCAUCAAGAGAGGUUGCAGCAAUCAUGCUGGGUCAGAUCAUCAAAAGGACUCACAAGACUCCAACAAAGUAAAAGGUCUGAAAGGUUUUUCUUUUCAAUUUUUUUUUUUUUAUAUUUCAAAGAGAGACAGAGUCUCGCCAUGUUGCCCAGGCUGGUUCUGAACUCCUGGGCUGAAGCAAUCCUUCUGCUUUGGGCUCCCGAAGUGCUGGGAUUACAGGCGUGAACCAUCGCACCUGGCCCUGAAUGGUUUUAUUACAGGCAAAGGAUACAGAACAAUAAGAGUAAGAAAACUCGGAGCAACUUCAGGAAGAUCCACAGCAUCCACGAGCAGUUGCUAAGGCCCCCCUCAGUCGCACGGGACUGGUUCGGCCUCUGCAUCGUGAACCCCCUAGUGCAUGGGGAAGAACUGGGCCUCAGGGAAGCCAAGGCAUAUGUUCAUCUUAUUUCCCUCUGGUCACAUAGCCCAAACCAGUCUAAGUAACCAGGCAUAAUAACUGAAACCAGGUGCCAACCAUCCAUCUAUGUUUUUCCAAUAAACUAUGUAGCAAGUUGGUACAGGGCACCUCCAGGCAGCUUUGGACUUCUGACAGCAUGUUAUAAAUCACUGAUUAGUACAUCCCAUCUUUUUUUGGCCAAGCCUAUGGUUCCAGCGUCUCUGGAGAAAAUGCACGGAGUUACACAUACUAGCUUCAAGUUGGCCCUAUUCUUACAGAGGCUUAGGAUGAAGAUUGGCCUUCCUGGGCCCCUGGAGUCACACUCCAGCUUUGCUCCAGAUGAAGACCUAGAAUCCUGAAAUCACAGCUUGGGUACCAGGUGUGCAAAGUCAUGGAUAAAUGCCCAAGCUCCCUUAACGCACAGAGGACCAAGCGCAUGAACCUCCUGGUCGUGGAGAUGUACUUGGAUGUGUCCUCUUGGAGCCUGAGCCCAAACUGGCAUGUCUCAUUCAGUUGCCACUGAUGCUCUGAUCGUCUCAUGUGUAAGGAGCUUGUGGAUGCUCUAGAGCUCAUGGAAGUAGACAGAAGUCAUCUCUAUUCACAUGGUGUUUACAGUCUAAAAGGAGUCAGGUAAUUAACAAAUAAACAUUCAGAUGAAUACACAACUUCAAAUAGUACAAGGAAAAGGAAACAAUUUGUUGUGAGAGAGAAUAAAUGGUGUUGGAACCCGCAAGAGAUCAGAGGCGAGGAGGAAGCGACACUCUCUAAGGGACUGGUAUUUAAGUUGAGAGCUGUAGGAAGGACUGAUUAACAUAGAAGAAGGGGAAGGGGGAGGGAACAGCAUGUGCAAAGGCCCUGAGGAGGGAUUGCUUGGCAAGUUAAAGAAAAGUGACUGGAGGCCGGUGUGGCUGGAUGUGGCAGGUGUGGGCAAGAGUGGUAGCAGAUGUGAGGUUGGAAUGGCAGAAGAGCGUUGUGCAGGGCCCUGCAGCCACAGCAAGGAAUUUGGAACUUAUUCCAGAUGUGAUGAUCUCAUGGGUUGACUUCUCCAAAAGCAGAGCCUGAGACAGGAUUUGGGUGCAGGUGGUUGAUUUGGAAGUUGAUUCCUGAAGGAGGGAUAGUGGCACAUUUAUCUUGAUGAUCGCCUCCCGGGCUGUUAACUCAGUACUUCUGGGCUAGACUUUUGCACAGACUAAGCAGGUUUCAACAGCAUCCAAGAAGACCUGUAAUCCCAGCACUUUGGG